rnacentral:lncRNA from 1 species
AUCUAAUUUCUAUAUUAAAAACUAAAAUUAUAAAUAUUUUAUAGCACAAAAUAGAUUCUUAUGAGCACAUUGGAUCGACUUUCAAUUAUAAAUUGUCAUGCCUUUCAAAUGAUAAGGGUACUGCGCUCACAAGAUGCCUUCGAGAAUAGUUAGCGAUACUCAAAAUUAUCGUACGUCACGGAAAGGUUGCUUCGAAACCAUUAUAGUGACAGUUAUUUUCGGUAC